CAUAUUUUUCCUGAUAGAAUGAAGAAUUUUCUUUGUUCUUUCUUCCUUCAAUUUACAAGAGGUUGGUAAUGAGACGUUAAUGGGGGUUCUCUUUUGAGCCAACUCUUUCUAUCAGCGUUCAAUCUCUCAUCGGAUCGAGUUGUUUUAGACGAAGUCCCAAUUUCGAUAUACUGCUCUUCGGGUGACAUUCGCAGCUAGCUCAAUUUUGCGGGGAAAGAUGAUCAUCAUACACUGAAGCUUCAAUUUUGGGGAAGGUGACAAUUGCUUAUUCUUCUAAAACAUUCUUAUUAUUUGCUUAAACUUUUGUUCUCUUAACUUUGUAAGGUUUGAAGUGGUACUAAAUUGUUUAGUUCUUAGUUGUAGGUUGUCCCAUGGUAUUGGUGAUUAAUUGAUUAUUAUAUUUCACGUUUCUAUGUCUAGGUCUUAUAUUGCGUCUAAGUCUGAUGUAAAGGUCAAUAUUCAUAGCGUGAAGGAUCUUCUCUUUAGGUCAAUUGGUAUUCUGAAAAAUCCUUGCAUUUUUGCCAAUCUUUCCAAUCAUAUAUUGUAUACCACUACAAUUAGCGCUGCUUUCAUCAUAGGUCCUCCAAUUUUUAUUCCUCUAGCCUAUAGAUUUACCCAUUUUCAUUAAAUCUAAGUAAGAAAGUCCUGCCAAAUUGCAUUUGUGAAAUAGCAGUUGAAAAAAAAAAAGAUUAGUAGUUUCAUUCUCAACUUGGAAAAAGGAGCAACUCCCAUCAGCAAUAACACCUCAUUUGAAAAUCAUAUCUUUGAUUCUUAGCUUGCCACGGAGAGCCAGCGACAAUAUAAACGCAUGCUUAGACUCAGCAAUAUUGGUCCUGUUUAUUUGUGAGCUUGAGCAGGUGAAUGCUUUGGCUUUGAAAGGAAGAAAUGUUACUUGGAUAAGUAUGUAUAACAGAACAUAUAUGUAGCAUCAUAUGUUAAUUGAGAGAUUCGAUUGUUGAAUAAGUAUCCAACAUGAUUGAUAUGUUACUUAAGAGAGUUCAGCAGCUCAAUAAGUAACCAACAGGAUUCAUAUGGAAGACCUUGGCGGGACUUCAUCUUCUAAUGUCGAGUUGAAGCAACUUCUGCUGCUGUUUUUGGGAUGCUGCUACAACUGUUUCUUGAGGCUAUGAUAUUCGGAUAUUGACAAUGAAGUUGCAUAACACUUCCAGAUGCUUGCCAAAAAUGUUCCCGCUACUAAAGUAAUUUUGUAUGACAAGUUACUCAUUCAUUGUUAGAAUGAAAUCUUCUCCAGGUUAGAGGAUAUUGCUUCCUUGAGAGAUAUAUAGUUUAUAACGCACAAGUAGCAAGAGGUGGUUAUAGUAUCAAAGUUGUGUUAUAGAUAGUUCGCCAAUUCCGUCUUUGUUUGACAGGAAAAAUCGAAUAAGCAUAGGACCUAUACUAGCAGCGCAGCAGUGAUAGGUGGCUUAUGCGCAAAAUUGAUGAGUUUCAGCUAUCACACUUUUUUAAGGGUUUGUAUCUUAUUGGCAUGUUUAAUUAUGUAAACCUUUUUCUUUGAGAUAUGCUUAUCUGUAAAUGAUUGGUUCCAUUAGUUCAUGAAAAGGUUUCUUCGAUCUGAUGUAA